UCGGGCGUGGUGUAUGGCACACUCCCUCUCAAUUUACACGGAAGAGAGAUGAGGAGGGAGAGAGCCGGGUUCGAUCCCUGGCGCCCGAG